rnacentral:rRNA from 1 species
UACAUGGGGUGCAAACGUUGCUCGGAAUCAUUGGGCGUAAAGCGCGCGUAGGCGGUUACUUAAGUUGGAUGUGAAAGCCCUCGGCUUAACCGAGGAAGUGCAUCCAAAACUGAGUAGCUAGAGUACGAAAGAGGGUCGCGGAAUUCCCGGUGUAGAGGUGAAAUUCGUAGAUAUCGGGAGGAACACCGGUGGCGAAGGCGGCGACCUGGGUCGAGACUGACGCUGAGGCGCGAAAGCGUGGGUAGCAAACAGG